rnacentral:rRNA from 1 species
GACGAACGCUGGCGGCGUGCUUAACACAUGCAAGUCGAACGAGGCCCCUCCUUCGGGAGGGUGUCCUAGUGGCGAACGGGUGAGUAACACGUGGGCAACCUGCCCCCGGCUCUGGGAUAACCCCAAGAAAUUGGGGCUAAUACCGGAUAUGACCGCUGACCGCAUGGCCUGGUGGUGGAAAGAUUUUUUCGGCUGGGGAUGGGCCCGCGGCCUAUCCGCUUGUUGGUGGGGUAGUGGCCUACCAAGGCGACGACGGGUAGCCGGCCUGAGAGGGUGACCGGCCACACUGGGACUGAGGCACGGCCCAGACUCCUACGGGAGGCAGCAGUGGGGAAUAUUGCGCAAUGGGCGGAAGCCUGACGCAGCGACGCCGCGUGGGGGAUGACGGCCUUCGGGUUGUAAACCUCUUUCAGCAGGGACGAAGCGAAAGUGACGGUACCUGCAGAAGAAGCACCGGCCAACUACGUGCCAGCCGCCGCGGUAA